rnacentral:rRNA from 1 species
CGGCGUGCCUAAUACAUGCAAGUGGGACGCAAGGGAACACACUGUGCUUGCACACCGUGUUUUCUUGAGUCGCGAACGGGUGAGUAACGCGUAGGUAACCUGCCUAUUAGCGGGGGAUAACUAUUGGAAACGAUAGCUAAUACCGCAUAAUAUUAAUUAUUGCAUGAUAAUUGAUUGAAAGAUGCAAGCGCAUCACUAGUAGAUGGACCUGCGUUGUAUUAGCUAGUUGGUAAGGUAAGAGCUUACCAAGGCGACGAUACAUAGCCGACCUGAGAGGGUGAUCGGCCACACUGGGACUGAGACACGGCCCAGACUCCUACGGGAGGCAGCAGUAGGGAAUCUUCGGCAAUGGACGAAAGUCUGACCGAGCAACGCCGCGUGAGUGAAGAAGGUUUUCGGAUCGUAAAGCUCUGUUGUAAGUCAAGAACGUGUGUGAGAGUGGAAAGUUCACACAGUGACGGUAGCUUACCAGAAAGGGACGGCUAACUACGUGCCAGCAGCCGCGGUAAUACGUAGGUCCCGAGCGUUGUCCGGAUUUAUUGGGCGUAAAGG